rnacentral:rRNA from 1 species
GAUGAACGCUGGCGGCGUGCUUAACACAUGCAAGUCGAACGGAAAGGCUCCUGCUUGCAGGGGUACUCGAGUGGCGAACGGGUGAGUAACACGUGGGUGAUCUGCCCUGCACUUCGGGAUAAGCCUGGGAAACUGGGUCUAAUACCGGAUAGGACCACAGUUUGGAUGGUGUGGUGGAAAGUUUUUCGGUGUGGGAUGAGCUCGCGGCCUAUCAGCUUGUUGGUGGGGUAAUGGCCUACCAAGGCGUCGACGGGUAGCCGGCCUGAGAGGGUGUACGGCCACAUUGGGACUGAGAUACGGCCCAGACUCCUACGGGAGGCAGCAGUGGGGAAUAUUGCACAAUGGGCGCAAGCCUGAUGCAGCGACGCCGCGUGGGGGAUGACGGCCUUCGGGUUGUAAACUCCUUUCGCUAGGGACGAAGCGCAAGUGACGGUACCUGGAGAAGAAGCACCGGCUAACUACGUG